rnacentral:sRNA from 1 species
CGCUGCCAACCUAUCUACCACGGCGAAUCUAUCUAUCACUGCCAAUUUAUCUACCACUGCCAAUCUAUCUAUCGCUGCCAAUCUAUCACUGCUAAUCUAUUGCUGCUAAUCUAUUGCUGCUGCCAAUCUAUCUAUCACUGCUAAUCUAUUGCUGCUAAUCUAUCACUGCUAAUCUAUCACUGCUAAUCUAUCGCUGCCAACCUAUCUACCGCGGCGAAUCUAUCUAUCGCUGCCAAUUUAUCUACCACUGCCAAUCUAUUGCUGCUGCCAAUCUAUCUAUCACUGCUAAUCUAUUGCUGCUAAUCUAUCACUGCUAAUCUAUCGCUGCUAAUCUAUCGCUGCUAAUCUAUCGCUGCUAAUCUAUCGCUGCUAAUCUAUCGCUGCUAAUCUAUCGCUGCUAAUCUAUCGCUGCCAACCUAUCUACCGCGGCGAAUCUAUCUAUUGCUGCCAACCAACCUACCACUGCCAACCUAUCUAUCGCUGCCAAUCUAUCGCUGCCAACCUAUCUACUGCAGUGAAUCUAUCUAUCACUAUCAUUACUAGUUCAAAAUAGAACUAGAGCAUAAAUACACUAAACUUCUUUUGAUAGAUAAUGAUUUUUGGUAACACUCAUAGCAUUAUAUCAUCUAUAUAGGGUAAAUCAUGGUCCCAUUUGGUCCCAUUUUAACAAAAUGGGAUCAAAUGGGAUCAGAAUCAGUAAUUUAUAAGAAGAACAUGAUCUGAGACU